GUUGAAGAACUUACUUGGCAGUUGCAGAAGUUGCAACGUGAGAAGGAAAAUUGGGGCACAAACAAAACUUUUGGACAAGUUCCUGUCACUCAAGGGGUCACGGUAGUUGACAACGAAACGAUGAAUAAACUUACAGCUGAAAAUGAACAGCUUAAGGCUCAGGUAGCUACACUAGAACAGAUUUGCGAAGUGCGGCUAAAGCAGGCUACAGAGGCUGAGAUGAGGAUAAUUGACUUAAAAACUGCGAUGCAAAGAAGACAAGAUUUCAGACAUGGAAACCGAGGAUAAGGUUUUGAGACAGCAAGCUUUGCUGAGUGCACCUAGUAGAAA